rnacentral:tRNA from 1 species
GACCAGCUAGCUCAGUCGGUAGAGCACAUCCCUUUUAAGGAUGGGGUCCCGGGUUCGAGCCCCGGGCUGGUCA